AUUGAACGCUGGCGGCAUGCCUAACACAUGCAAGUCGAACGGCAGCGCGGGCUUCGGCCUGGCGGCGCGUGGCGAACGGGUGAGUAAUUAACCCGUACGUGCCCAGCCUAGGGGGAUAGCUUGGCGAAAGCAGGCUUAAUAUCGCACACGACCUUAUGGUGAAAGCGGGGGUUCUUUGGUCCUCGCGCGUUUGGCGCUGUCGAUGGCAGAUUAGCUAGUUGGUUGGGUAAAGGCUUACCAAGGCGACGAUCCGUAGCCGGUCUGAGAGGGCGACCAGCCACACUGGAACUGAGACACGGUCCAGACUCCUACGGGAGGCAGCAGUGGGGAAUUUUCGGCAAUGGGCGAAAGCCUGAUGGAGCAAUGCCGCGUGAGUGAUGAAGGUCUUCGGAUUGUAAAGCACUGUUAGCAGGAACGAACAAAAGUGUGCCAAAACAAGGAUGCGAUGACGGUACCCGCAGAAAAAGCAACGGCUAACUACGUG
rnacentral:rRNA from 1 species